UUUCUGGAAAGAAGGAAAAAACACAUUAUAUAUUUGUGCCUUUGCCUGUAAGAAGCUAAAACCCCUCUAAGACAGACAUGCACAACAGUUCUCUGUAAGUAAAUAACAGAAAACAGCUUGGAAAUGCUCCCCACUUCUAGAAAAAAAAAAACAAGUCUUCCCAUGCGUAACCACUACCUUGCUUAUUUUGUGUAUUUGGCCAUAAGAACAACAACCACCACCUGAAUAAGACCAUGCCAAAGGCAAUGACCAUGGGAUUAGAUGCAGUUCAUCUCUAAAACUGAAAAUGCACCUAUCAGCAUUUCUACAUUUCAGAGGCAUGGAGGGUUUGGGAAACUUCAAUAGCCUUUCGACUGAUAAAAACAAAGCCCAUCAUGUUCUCUUGCCAAGAUACAUAACACCCAUGAUACCAGCCACAAUCACCUACCAAACAUUUAUAUGUUAGAUUGAUUUAAGAUACUUUUCAAGUAAACAUAUGAAGAUAUUUAAAGAGAUGUAGCAUUUUUUUAUAUUUAGGGGGAACAGAACCAAACAAAGCAGUGUUCAGACUUCCAUCAGUAUGUUACUCACUUGGACAUGGGUUUGUUGCCACUGUCUUCUUUUGCUUUUCUUCCCUCUUCCACAGGCUUGAGGUUGAACAGAGGUGUAACUUCAGCAUUGCCAUAUCCAGCAAAUGUGACUGCAGCUGUUCCAUUCUCCUCAUCUAUUUCUUCAAUCUCAGCUUCAUAACACCUGUAAAGAUAUCAUGGCUGUAAGCAUGUGAGUAAAGCUUUAAUACUCAGCCCUUCAACACCUACAGUCAGCCAGCUAAUGGCAUUAAGUAAAGAAUCUGCAAAUAUCAGCCUUCAUUUUCAGUGUCAAUACACAAACCAAGAGAUUAUCUGCUCUAGUGGAAGGCGUCCCUGCCCGGGGCAGGCGUUGGAACCGGAUGAGCUUUAAGGUCCCUUCCAACACAAACCAUUCUGUGAUAUCCUAUGAUUACUUUCUUAAGGUCAAAGAGGCACAAGUACCAGGACUGGAAUCUGCUGUAUUUGACCUUUAGUAGCCAAAUGCAAUGGCCUCACAGUUAAAGAUGCAUGAUUAAUACUGGGGCAAAUCUAAUCAGAUACUCUUGAUUUGGUUCUAGCUCUGGCAGGUCAUGGCAUUGAAAAAGACCCAACAAAACACCUCAUCCACAGAAUACAGCUGUCAGGGCAUACACCAAGGGGUUUUGGAAAAUGUCAGCUCACCAGAGCAAAACUCUGGUUCCAUUUUUCUCCAUAUGAAAAAGAAUUAAGAAAAACUGAAGCUUUCAAAACAUUCCCUCUUCAACAUUUACAAAAUUAAAAGUGUUCUUAUUGAUUUACAAUAGAAAAUUUGAGACUUGAGCAGAAAUCAGCCCAUGUCAUAUUUAUCUGGAUGAAUCAUUUUUGUCAAACUGACCUCAUAAUGGGGAAGAGGAAAAAAAAAAGACAAGUGACAUUUCCAAAAAAAUUGAAAUUGAGUCUAAAUUAAAAGCAAAAGGACACAUCUAAAGCAAACAGAGGAAUAAAAGGAGAUGUUUAAUAAACAGUAUUCAGUUAA